rnacentral:rRNA from 1 species
GUUCGGAUGUCGGCAGUGCGAUUGAUGACACUGACCAUUUGAUUGGUUGAAAUCCACCUGAGUUGCGUAUGACCACCCGCUG